CUCUGCUUAGCUUAGUUGGUCUAAAGCCAAGAAGCCAUUUGUUUAAUAGCAAAUGUAACUGGGAUCGUCAGUUCGAAUCUGGCAGGAGAGC
rnacentral:tRNA from 1 species